ensembl:lncRNA
CCCGAAUCUACCCAAGCUGUGGUCACCUGGACUCCAAAUCCCUGAAUGCUCCAAUAACGUGGGUCCUGAACUGGUAUUCUAUUUUAGAGAGGACCCACAGGUCUGGCUUAAAGUUCCCUCAAGCAAUCCCCGCUCACCCAAGGAGUUUUCACACUUAAUCAUUAUAAAGUCUCUGAUUGGUUGACUGAGUCUUGUUCUCACCUCAUUAAGGUGUCAGGCAUCUUCAUCUCUACUUUAAGGUGAUGAGGCGAGGUGACUGACUUAUUUAACCAACUCCACCCUUACAACAUGCUCUGCAUAUGUAAUAUGAACCUCACAAGCAUCCUUUGAGGGAGGUAAUGCAGGUAUUAUUAUCCCCAGUUUACAGAUGAGGAAACUGAGGCUCAAGGAGACCAAAGUGAUUUACUUGCUCGUCAUCAGGCAGAUAGAGUCAGAGUAGUAAUUGUGGAACCCGGGGUUUUUCUGACCCCAAGGCCAGCAUGACAAAUCCACCCCAUCCCACCCCCAGAAAUGGGGCGGUCUUCUACGACUUUGCCAGCUCUCUAUGCCUCACUCCCUCCACUCGGGACCUAGAUUAAGAGGUUGGGCCUCUCUCUUCCUCCCCGCAGCCGAAGGGGGCGUGGCGUGGCUGCGGCAGUUGGAAGGGGCUGGACAGCGGACGCUGCUUCUUCCCCGGACCGCCGCAGGAGGGGGCCUUGGGUGAUCGCAGCGCUGGGCACGGCAGAGCCAGGCAGAGGCGAGCAGAGCCGAGCUGGGCAGACGCAAGCAGGGCAGGCGCGGGCCAGGACGGUGGCAGACGGGAGCGGACCGGACCGGGCUCAGAGCGCAGGGACCAGGGCGCACAGCCAGCAGCAGCAGCAGCAGCAGCAGCAGCAGCAGCAGCAGCAGUCAGAGCCAAGCCUACAGAGGCAGUUCCUAACCGUAGUGCCAGAGGGCACGGAGUAGUUAAGUGACUUGCCCAGGGUCAUGGCUAAUCCACAUCGGAGGGGAAAUUUGAAGCUUGGUCUCCCUGACCGAGGUCAGUUCCCUAUCCACUAUGUCCCUUUGCCUGUCUACCAGGGAUGCUAAAACAUGGCGUAGUAGGAAAGGCACUGGAUUUUGAGUCAGCAAGUUCAGUUGGGGUCUUCUUGGCAAAGAUACUGGAGUGCUUUGCCAUUUCCUUCUCUGGCUCUUCUCUUUUUUUGGCUUUUUGGUGAGGCAGUCAGGGUUAGGUGACUUGCCCAGGGUCAUACUCCAUCUCAUUUAACAGAUGAGGAAACUGAGGCAAUCAGGGUUAAGUGACUUGCCCAAUCACAGAAACUAGUAAGUUUCUGAGGUCACACCUGAACUCAGGUCUUCCUGACUCCAGGCUAAGCAUUCUAUCCACUCACUGCACCACCUCAAUGCCCUGGGAGUCUUAAAUUCCACCUUGGAAGUGGAAUGAGCAGCUCCAGAGCUUUAACCUCUCUCUGCCUCAGUUCCCUUAUGUGUUGAAUGUUGGCUUCUACGAUCUCUUGAAUUGAAAUCUAUGAUUUUCUGAUUCCACGAUAUAAAUAAAUGCAAUAUGAUUUGACCA